UACGUAGGUGGCAAGCGUUGUCCGGAUUUACUGGGCGUAAAGGGCGUGCAGGCGGUUUGUUAAGUGCAGGGUGAAAGCUCCCGGCUCAACUGGGAGAGGUCCUUGCAUACUGGCAAACUCGAGGGAGGCAGAGGAAAGUGGAAUUCCCGGUGUAGUGGUGAUAUGCGUAGAUAUCGGGAGGAACACCUGUGGCGAAGGCGGCCCCCUGGUUGGAUACUGACGCUGAUACGCGAAAGCGUGGGGAGCAAACAGG
rnacentral:rRNA from 1 species